UGCGGGUUGGUGUAAUAGAAACAUUUUUGGCUCAUGCCCAAAAGACAAGGGUGCAAAUCCUUUACCCGCAU
rfam:Podospora anserina complete mitochondrial genome